UACGUAGGGCGCAAGCGUUAUCCGGAAUUAUUGGGCGUAAAGAGCUCGUAGGCGGUUUGUCGCGUCUGCCGUGAAAGUCCGGGGCUCAACUCCGGAUCUGGCGGUGGGUACGGGCAGACUAGAGUGAUGUAGGGGAGACUGGAAUUCCUGGUGUAGCGGUGAAAUGCGCAGAUAUCAGGAGGAACACCGAUGGCGAAGGCAGGUCUCUGGGCAUUAACUGACGCUGAGGAGCGAAAGCAUGGGGAGCGAACAGG
rnacentral:rRNA from 1 species